AUAUAACUAUAACUAAAGAGAAGAUAAUUGAAAAAUGGUGAGUUUUAGGGUUGAGAUUAAGGUCCUAUAUAUAGUGGAAAAAAAGGACAUAUGAGUAAUUUGGUCAAAUUAAAUGUUUCCUUUUAAAUUACCCUAAUAAAAAUAAAUCAACAUAUAAUAUUAUAUUUUAGGAAUGUUUUAUGCACAUGAUUUGAAUCAAGACACAAACGAUGACUUUAUCCAUACCAUCCCCACAUAUUUGCGAUCCAAAAAAAAAAACAUAAAAACUAUAAGCAACAAUCUUC
rnacentral:lncRNA from 1 species